UAUAAAACGUGGCGUUAAUAUUGCAUAGUUAUCAGUUCAAUUUGAAAAUUGCAACAAAAUAUCUUACAAUGAAAUUCUUUGCCUUCAUCACGAUGUUCGUGUGCGCCAUCUUGACCCUAGUCAGCGGUGAUGACGUACACCACAGACAGGUGCGCAGCCCAGUGCCCGUUGAUGAUGUAGCACCUGGCCACCAUCAUCACCACCACCACCACCACCAUUACGGAUACGGCUACGGAUACCACUGAUAUGGAAGUGAUUGGCUAUUGAUUGAUUUAAAGUUUCGUUAAGUUUAUGAUUGGGUUAUUGUUCAGUAUGAGGUAUAAUAAUAAAAUAUUUUGUAGUUAA